UCCCUCUCUCCCUCCUUAAUUUCUCUCACUAAAAGUCUUACUUGUUCUCCAACCCCUCUCCCUAUAAUUUAAUUAAGCUUUAAAAGCAAUCUCAUCUCUACCUUCAAUAGUUCCCAUUAUAUAAUAUGGCCUUUUACAAGUCCAAAAAUCAUCAUCUAGGACCACAAAAUAAGUAUAACUAAUUGUUUAUCUUUGUGGUGGUUCCGGUCAUAUCUCCUCCGUACUCCGCCGUAUCGUUCCGACUACAAAAAUCCCUCACUUCCGAUCUCAAGAAUGAGCAGGAGAAAUGGAAAUGGUUCAAGGCUUGACCUAAAAUUGAAUUUGUCACCACCACCAAGAGUGAACCACGUGGCGCCGCAAGUGGAGUCGCCGACAAGGUCAUUGACCAUGUCCCCGACGAAUUCAUGUGUGUCAUCUGAUGAUUCGUCGGGGGGUCAACGUGGUUCCAACAGCCCCGAAGCGGUGACUUCGAUGCUGUUGGUUGGUUGUCAAAGGUGUCUUAUGUAUGUUAUGGUAUCGGGAGUUAAUGAUCCACCAAGGUGCCCAAAAUGCAAGAGUACUUGUUUGCUUGAUGUUAUGUAUGAGAAAAAAUAAGAAGUAUUGAGUCGGUCAAGAUCAAAUCCAUCAGAUUCUCAUAUUAUUACUAGGUUUAUCAAUAUCGCCGUCCUGCC